AUACGGAGGGUGCGAGCGUUAAUCGGAAUUACUGGGCGUAAAGCGCGCGUAGGCGGCUUAUUAAGUCAGAUGUGAAAUCCCCGGGCUCAACCUGGGAACUGCAUCUGAUACUGGUAAGCUAGAGUUUGGGAGAGGGAAGUAGAAUUUCAGGUGUAGCGGUGAAAUGCAUAGAGAUCUGAAGGAAUACCAGUGGCGAAGGCGACUUCCUGGCCUAAAACUGACGCUGAGGUGCGAAAGCGUGGGUAGCAAACGGGAUUAGAUACCCCAGUAGUCC
rnacentral:rRNA from 1 species